rnacentral:rRNA from 1 species
GAUGAACGCUGGCGGCGUGCCUAAUACAUGCAAGUCGAGCGAACAGACGAGGAGCUUGCUCCUGUGACGUUAGCGGCGGACGGGGGAGUAACACGUGGAGAACCUACCUAUAAGACUGGGAUAACUUCGGGAAACCGGAGCUAAUACCGGAUAAUAUAUUGGACCGCAUGGUUCAAUAGUGUAGGACGGUUUUGCUGUCACUUAUAGAUGGGUCCGCGCCGCAUUAGCUAGUUGGUAAGGUAACGGCUUACCAAGGCAACGAUGCGUAGCCGACCUGAGAGGGUGAUCGGCCACACUGGAACUGAGACACGGUCCAGACUCCUACGGGAGGCAGCAGUAGGGAAUCUUCCGCAAUGGGCGAAAGCCUGACGGAGCAACGCCGCGUGAGUGAUGAAGGUCUUCGGAUCGUAAAACUCUGUUAUUAGGGAAGAACAAAUGUGUAAGUAACUAUGCACGUCUUGACGGUACCUAAUCAGAAAGCCACGGCUAACUACGUG